rnacentral:misc_RNA from 1 species
AACAUCGCGCACCUGCGGGAACCUGCGGAGGGAUCAUUACUGAGUGCGGGUUCCAAUGAGCCCAACCUCCCACCCGUGUUUACCGUAACCGCGUUGCCUCGGCGGGCCCACUGGGGCCUGUCCCCGGUCGCCGGGGGGCAUCUGCCCCCGGGCCCGCGCCCGCCGAAGCGCCCUAGAACCCUGCCUGAACAGUGAGUCUGAGUGAGUGAUUGAAUCAUUAAAACUUUCAACAACGGAUCU